UGUCUCAGUUCGGAUUGGAGUCUGCAACCCGACUCCAUGAAGCUGGAUUCGCUAGUAAUCGCGCAUCAGCCACGGCGCGGUGAAUACGUUCCCGGGCCUUGUACACACCGCCCGUCAAGCCAUGGAAGCCGGGAGUGCCUGAAGUGCGUGAGCGCAAGCAGCGCCCUAAGGUAAAACCGGUGACUGGGGCUAAGUCGUAACAAGGUAUC
rnacentral:rRNA from 1 species